CAGAUUUGCCAGGAUUUCGAGUUAGGGAAGCUGCACCCUUUUCUAAUGUGGGAAUAGAUUUUGCAGGUCCAUUGUUUGUAAAGUGUUGUGCAAAAUGUCCAAGUAAGGUUUAUAUAGCAUUGUUUUCUUGUUGUGUGACUAGAGCUAUACAUUUGGAGCUAGUUAGGGAUUUAUCUGCAGAGACAUUUUUGUGUUGUCUACGGAGAUUUGCUGCUAGGAGA